rnacentral:rRNA from 1 species
GUGUCAGCAGCCGCGGUAAGACGAACCGUGCAAACGUUGUUCGGAAUCACUGGGCUUAAAGGGCGCGUAGGCGGGCUCUCAAGUCAGGGGUGAAAUCUUUCGGCCCAACCGGAAAAGCGCUUCUGAUACUGGGAGUCUCGAGGGAGGUAGGGGUCGGUGGAACUGGUGGUGGAGCGGUGAAAUGCGUAGAUAUCACUAGGAACGCCGGUGGCGAAAGCGGCCGACUGGACCUCUUCUGACGCUGAGGCGCGAAAGCCAGGGGAGCGAACGGGAUUAGAUACCCCCGUAGUCC